UGGGGAAUAUUGGACAAUGGGCGAAAGCCUGAUCCAGCCAUGCCGCGUGUGUGAAGAAGGUCUUCGGAUUGUAAAGCACUUUAAGUUGGGAGGAAGGGCAUUAACCUAAUACGUUAGUGUUUUGACGUUACCGACAGAAUAAGCACCGGCUAACUCUGUGCCAGCAGCCGCGGUAAUACAGAGGGUGCAAGCGUUAAUCGGAAUUACUGGGCGUAAAGCGCGCGUAGGUGGUUUGUUAAGUUGGAUGUGAAAUCCCCGGGCUCAACCUGGGAACUGCAUUCAAAACUGACUGACUAGAGUAUGGUAGAGGGUGGUGGAAUUUCCUGUGUAGCGGUGAAAUGCGUAGAUAUAGGAAGGAACACCAGUGGCGAAGGCGACCACCUGGACUGAUACUGACACUGAGGUGCGAAAGCAUGGGGAGCGAACA
rnacentral:rRNA from 1 species